UACGUAGGGGGCAAGCGUUGUCCGGAAUCAUUGGGCGUAAAGAGCUCGUAGGCGGUUUGUCACGUCUGCUGGGAAAACUCGGGGCUUAACCCCGAGCUUGCAGUGGAUACGGGCAGACUAGAGGUAGGUAGGGGAGAAUGGAAUUCCCGGUGUAGCGGUGAAAUGCGCAGAUAUCGGGAGGAACACCGGUGGCGAAGGCGGUUCUCUGGGCCUUACCUGACGCUGAGGAGCGAAAGCGUGGGGAGCGAACAGG
rnacentral:rRNA from 1 species